rnacentral:rRNA from 1 species
GGCAGGCCUAACACAUGCAAGUCGAGCGGUAGCACAGAGAGCUUGCUCUCGGGUGACGAGCGGCGGACGGGUGAGUAAUGUCUGGGAAACUGCCUGAUGGAGGGGGAUAACUACUGGAAACGGUAGCUAAUACCGCAUAACGUCGCAAGACCAAAGUGGGGGACCUUCGGGCCUCAUGCCAUCAGAUGUGCCCAGAUGGGAUUAGCUGGUAGGUGGGGUAACGGCUCACCUAGGCGACGAUCCCUAGCUGGUCUGAGAGGAUGACCAGCCACACUGGAACUGAGACACGGUCCAGACUCCUACGGGAGGCAGCAGUGGGGAAUAUUGCACAAUGGGCGCAAGCCUGAUGCAGCCAUGCCGCGUGUGUGAAGAAGGCCUUCGGGUUGUAAAGCACUUUCAGCGGGGAGGAAGGCGGUGAGGUUAAUAACCUCAUCGAUUGACGUUACCCGCAGAAGAAGCACCGGCUAACUCCGUGCCAGCAGCCGCGGUAAUACGGAGGGUGCAAGCGUUAAUCGGAAUUACUGGGCGUAAAGCGCACGCAGGCGGUCUGUCAAGUCGGAUGUGAAAUCCCCGGGCUCAACCUGGGAACUGCAUUCGAAACUGGCAGGCUAGAGUCUUGUAGAGGGGGGUAGAAUUCCAGGUGUAGCGGUGAAAUGCGUAGAGAUCUGGAGGAAUACCGGUGGCGAAGGCGGCCCCCUGGACAAAGACUGACGCUCAGGUGCGAAAGCGUGGGGAGCAAACAGGAUUAGAUACCCUGGUAGUCCACGCUGUAAACGAUGUCGAUUUGGAGGUUGUGCCCUUGAGGCGUGGCUUCCGGAGCUAACGCGUUAAAUCGACCGCCUGGGGAGUACGGCCGCAAGGUUAAAACUCAAAUGAAUUGACGGGGGCCCGCACAAGCGGUGGAGCAUGUGGUUUAAUUCGAUGCAACGCGAAGAACCUUACCUGGUCUUGACAUCCACAGAACUUUGCAGAGAUGGUUUGGUGCCUUCGGGAACUGUGAGACAGGUGCUGCAUGGCUGUCGUCAGCUCGUGUUGUGAAAUGUUGGGUUAAGUCCCGCAACGAGCGCAACCCUUAUCCUUUGUUGCCAGCGGUUCGGCCGGGAACUCAAAGGAGACUGCCAGUGAUAAACUGGAGGAAGGUGGGGAUGACGUCAAGUCAUCAUGGCCCUUACGACCAGGGCUACACACGUGCUACAAUGGCAUAUACAAAGAGAAGCGACCUCGCGAGAGCAAGCGGACCUCAUAAAGUAUGUCGUAGUCCGGAUUGGAGUCUGCAACUCGACUCCAUGAAGUCGGAAUCGCUAGUAAUCGUAGAUCAGAAUGCUACGGUGAAUACGUUCCCGGGCCUUGUACACACCGCCCGUCACACCAUGGGGAGUGGGUUGCAAAAGAAGUAGGUAGCUUAACCUUC